AGUCGAGGGGCAGCAUAUAGAUUGCUUGCAAUUUAUGAUGGCGACCGGCGCACGGGUGAGUAACGCGUAUCCAACCUACCCAUUACUAGGGAAUAACCCAGCGAAAGUUGGCCUAAUGCCCUAUGUAGUCGUUUGAUCGCCUGAGAUUUCGACGAAAGAUUUAUCGGUAUUGGAUGGGGAUGCGUCUGAUUAGCUUGUUGGCGGGGUAAAGGCCCACCAAGGCAACGAUCAGUAGGGGUUCUGAGAGGAAGGUCCCCCACAUUGGAACUGAGACACGGUCCAAACUCCUACGGGAGGCAGCAGUGAGGAAUAUUGGUCAAUGGGCGAGAGCCUGAACCAGCCAAGUAGCGUGCAGGAUGACGGCCCUAUGGGUUGUAAACUGCUUUUAUAUGGGAAUAAAGUGAGGGACGUGUCCCUUAUUGCAUGUACCAUACGAAUAAGGACCGGCUAAUUCCGUGCCAGCAGCCGCGGUAAUACGGAAGGUCCAGGCGUUAUCCGGAUUUAUUGGGUUUAAAGGGAGCGUAGGCUGUUUGUUAAGCGUGUUGUGAAAUGUAGGAGCUCAACUUUUAGAUUGCAGCGCGAACUGGCAGACUUGAGUGCGCACAACGUAGGCGGAAUUCAUGGUGUAGCGGUGAAAUGCUUAGAUAUCAUGACGAACUCCGAUUGCGAAGGCAGCUUACGGGAGCGCAACUGACGCUAAAGCUCGAAGGUGCGGGUAUCGAACAGGAUUAGAUACCCUGGUAGUCCGCACAGUAAACGAUGGAUGCCCGCUGUUAGCACCUAGUGUUAGCGGCUAAGCGAACGCAUUAAGCAUCCCACC
rnacentral:rRNA from 1 species